rnacentral:rRNA from 1 species
UACAGAGGUCUCGAGCGUUAGGCGGAAUCACUGGGCUUAAAGCGUGUGUAGGCGGAUCGUUAAGUGCCUUGUGAAAUCCCACGGCUCAACCGUGGAACUGCUUGGCAUACUGGCGGUCUUGAGCAACCUAGGGGCGAGCGGAACAAAUGGUGGAGCGGUGAAAUGCGUAGAUAUCAGGAGGAACACCGGUGGCGAAGGCAGCUCGCUGGGACGGUACUGACGCUGAGACGCGAAAGCGUGGGGAGCAAACAGG